CAUACACAGUAGGCCAUAAGUUAUGAAGUCCAGCUGAGUCCGAUUCUAAGCAGUAUUUAAAGAAACUUGAGUGGAUCAUAUUUCUGCGAACUUCUAUUUAGAAUGAAGACGCUCCUCAUCUUCAACCAGCGCCAGAUAUCAGAUGGCAUCAUCAACCACCAUGAGAGUCAUCCUAACUGAAGCCAAUGUCCGAAAAUUGAAGCUAACCUCAAGGCCUAGCUCAGUUGCGGAUUUGAUUAUGUAUAUAAAAGAAUCAUUCGGACUCGAAUAUGACUUCAACUUACAGUUUCGAGACGCAGAGUUUGAUAAUGAACUUUGCAACCUCACAGAUUUAUCAGAACUGCCGGAGAAGCCAACAGUAAAGAUCAUUCCAUUGCUCAAUUUGGUCUCCCUUCCUUCAAGCUUAUCUGAAAAUCUGAAUGACACUGUGUCUACAGCAGAUACCGAGCUGCUCUCCACUUCGUUGACAGAAGCAAGGAAGCCAUGGCCCGAUGACGUCUUAAUUCCAAAAUUCUCUGUAGAUGUCGAGUACAGACUCCGUCAGGGGAAUUUGACUUAUCUCAAGGAGAGAACAUACCUUAAGGUCUCAAAAGAGUUGAAGCAUGACAUCCUUCACAGGCUGGCAGAAAGAAUUUACUCAUUCAAAGCAUACCCAACUACUCGUGACCUCAACGCAGUAGCCAGGGCAUUAAUAGCGGCUCAUCCUUGCCUUCAAGAACCGGCAUCACCAUCUGGUUGCUGUGGGUGGAAGGACAGCCUUAAAGACAAAAUGGGCAAUUACAGGUCAAAAAUGAGAGCUCUGGGACAUGAAGAUGUCAAGGUCAAUGCAGGGAAACGAGGACGAAACACCCCGAAUGGUGAGCCUCCACACAAGAACAUAAAAAAGCCAAAGAAAGGGGAAGUCAAUUACUUACCAAAUAUUCCGGAUGGACACAAUAACACAAGCCUUGAAGAUGCCCGAAAGCAAUUAGUGGACGAGAUGAAGAAAAAGAACCCAGACAGAACACUUAUCAAUCAGAAGAUGGAUGCAACAUUGUCUCUGUGAAGGAAGGAAGUUGUGCAGGACAAGCCACCUGUGAUCCAGAUGCUCCAGCGUUGACCAGCACUGUUCGUGGAAAAUCAGGUGUACCAGGAAUUGAACAGGGUCGUGGGGAAAAACCUGAAGCAAGAAUUCUACGACUCCCUUGAUCGCCAUUGUCCUGCACUUGUUGAUGUCAUGAAGUCAAAGAGAGGGCUGAAGGGGCAGCUGCUGGAUGCACUUUUGCGCCAAGCACAGACAUCGGACAUUGCCGACAUAUGAUGCCUCGUCCUGAGAGGGCUGGCAGUGCUUCUGGAUGACAACCCAUCUGAAUUCUUCAAGGACUUUUGGAAGGUUUUGCUGUGGAUGAUGAGGACGCCUACAAACACAUCCCAAUUGGAAUCCUCGCUAUUCAUCAUGAUGGUGUUGCACAACAUCCCCUAAACCCAUCCUCCCUGGGUGUGGUUCUGGAAGGAAAUGUUGUGAUGGACAAUAUCAACAACUUGCCCCAGACCAUGUGCCUACUCUUUGGCUUGACAUAUGCACUUCAUCUGAACUACCCAAAAUGCAUGGUAAACACAUUCCAGUUCAUUCAGCAGGUUUUCUUGGGUUUGGGGAGGAAGGAGUUGAAGGGAAAAGUGUUGACUUUGACUAAUCAGCUGGCCAUGUAAGGUCACUUCAGGUUGGUAUUUUACACUUCCCACCAUGUUUUCAGAUAGUUUGGUGUGUAAUAUACUGGUCAAGAUUGAGAUUUGCACACAUGCUACUGUUUAGUGUAUUUGUCACUGCUGUGGUAGCACCCGCCACCUCUACAGUCAUUGUAGAGGUGGUGGGAGGAGGCUGCUGCCACAGUAGUGGGAAAUCCUUUAUUCAGUAGCAUGUGUGUAAAUUACAAUCUUAACCAUCCUAUCCCAUAACAAACUGUGCGAACAUAUAGUGGUAGAUGUAAAAUGCCCAGCUUGACCUUGGAAGAUGUUAUUGGGUAUGGCGAUUUGGUUCAUUUCAUUAUUGAAUUAAUCAUUAUGGGCCUUUUGUGGUGAGUAGCUGUAUUUUUUCUAUCUUUUUUAUUUGUAAUUUUUAUUUUAAAUUCUGUUUUAAGUGUCAUGAAUAACCAUUUCAGAACUCUUAAGGUACAAAGGCUGUUGAAAAAAGUGAUGUUACAUUUGGUGUGUGAACAAUUGAAAAAAAAAGUUUUGAAAAAGUUGUUUUUACAAAGUGCCAUUGCCGGAGUUUCUGUUGUGGAAGGCAGUGACUUUAUUUAUAUGCACUUUAUGCUACUUUGUUCUGUGAAUAGGGUAGCACCAACACUGUCAAAUGACCAUCCUGUACACAAACUACCCAAGGUGCAUGGUAAACACAACCUUCAAUUCGUUCAGCAGGUUCUCUUUGGGUAGGGAGGAGUUGAAAGGAAAAGUGCACACAGCUGAUACCACUGUCUUGUGUAAAAAAGGGUAUAUUGGCGUUUACAGUCAUGGUCAUUUGACAGUGUUGGCAAAUAGGUUUUCUUUGUUUUGGCCUACAGGUCACGGUUGGUAUUUUACACUUCCCACCAUGUUUUCAGAUAGUUUGGUGUGUAAUAUACUGGUCAAGAUUGAGAUUUGCACACAUGCUACUGUUUAGUGUAUCUGUCACUGCUGUGGUAGCAUCCGCCACCUCUACAGUCAUUGUAGAGGUGGUGGGAGGAGGCUGCUGCCACAGUAGUGGGAAAUCCUUUAUUCAGUAGCAUGUGUGUAAAUUACAAUCUUAACCAGUCUAUCCCAUAACACAAUGUACGAACAUAUAGUGGUAAGUGUAUUUUUGUAUGUGAUAAGUAAAACAUAAAAACCCUUUGUUAUAUAUAUAAUAUCCCUAAUGUAGAAUGGCUUUCUUGUUUGUCAGUUUUCACAUUACUGCAUUACAAUAAUCCUUCAAAAACCA